rnacentral:lncRNA from 1 species
AGUUCAACAACAAGACUACUUCUUGGAAUUGAUUUAGAACAUGUUAUGAACUAAAUAACAUGCAUGAAUUAGAAUCAAAAUUGAAAUUAUAGGCUAAGAAUUGAAAGAAUACCUAAAAAAAUGUAUCCAAAAUUCAACCAACAAAAUCAAAAUUCAACACAAACUUAGAACAUAAUGUGACAAUUAUUAUGACUAAACAUGACUCUAAGACAACAUGGAUUAAU